rnacentral:rRNA from 1 species
UACGGAGGGUGCGAGCGUUGUCCGGAAUCAUUGGGCGUAAAGGGCGCGUAGGUGGCCCGGUCAGUUCGUGGUGAAAGCGCGGGGCUCAACUCCGCGUCGGCCAUGAAUACUGCUGGGCUGGAGCACUGUAGGAGGCAGGCGGAAUUCCGGGUGUAGCGGUGGAAUGCGUAGAGAUCCGGAAGAACACCGGUGGCGAAGGCGGCCUGGCUGGGCGAGUGGC